AUUGAACGCUGGCGGCAGGCCUAACACAUGCAAGUCGAACGGUAACAGGAAGAAGCUUGCUUCUUUGCUGACGAGUGGCGGACGGGCGAGUAAUGUCUGGGAAACUGCCUGAUGGAGGGGGAUAACUACUGGAAACGGUAGCUAAUACCGCAUAACGUCGCAAGACCAAAAAGGGGGCCCUUCGGGCCCCUUGCCAUCGGAUGUGCCCAGAUGGGAUUAGCUAGUAGGUGGGGUAACGGCUCACCUAGGCGACGAUCCCUAGCUGGUCUGAGAGGAUGACCAGCCACACUGGAACUGAGACACGGUCCAGACUCCUACGGGAGGCAGCAGUGGGGAAUAUUGCACAAUGGGCGCAAGCCUGAUGCAGCCAUGCCGCGUGUAUGAAGAAGGCCUUCGGGUUGUAAAGUACUUUCAGCGGGGAGGAAGGAAGUAAAGUUAAUACCUUUGCUCAUUGACGUUACCCGCAGAAGAAGCACCGGCUAACUCCGUG
rnacentral:rRNA from 1 species